rnacentral:rRNA from 1 species
UACGUAGGGGGCAAGCGUUGUCCGGAAUCAUUGGGCGUAAAGAGCGUGUAGGCGGUCCGAUAAGUCGGUUGUGAAAGUCCAGGGCUCAACCCUGGGAUGCCGACCGAUACUGUCGGACUAGAGUUCGGAAGAGGCGAGUGGAAUUCCCGGUGUAGCGGUGAAAUGCGCAGAUAUCGGGAGGAACACCGGUGGCGAAGGCGGCGACCUGGGUAGAUACUGACGCUGAGGUGCGAAAGCGUGGGGAGCAAACAGG